rnacentral:misc_RNA from 1 species
GUGCACUCUUUCUUUGUUCUAAAUUGAGAGAUGAUGAUUACAAACAAUAAAAACAGAAUCGUCAUAGUUUUUGUAGAACAAAGAGCAAAUCACAAAUCUCUCCAGUGAAGAAAUUUGUUUCUAAUUCUAUCCUUUAAAAUAACUUGAAUAUAUGUAUGAUUGAUUGUGCUAUCCAGUACACCAUAGCCUGAUCUAAUUACUGACAAAUGCAACAUCCAAAUCUUAAAAUCAUUCAAAUUCAGAGUUCAGAGCCGAAAUUCAGCUGUUUGAAGCUCCACUGGUCCAGUCUGCCCAUUUCUAAUAGCCAUUAAAUCACUGCUGUCACCUCCCAAAUAGGCUUUCAUAAAUGCAACCACAACACCUCCAACAAACCUCCUCAUAGGCUCCCUGGACUUGCCAUUCAUGCACAAACAAUACGUAGCUUUCCCUCUAAUCCCUCUAGUAUCGUCAUCUAGCAUAUCUAGAUGACCAAAAUCCUUCACAACAAAAUAACAAGCUGGUUUUUGACAUUCCUUAUAAAAGUCCUCAUGAUUAACACCCUUGGGUGCACAAGGAGGGAACAGAGGGUUCCUUUUCACUUCACCUAAGCCAGAACCAAUUACCAUUGCUGCCAUAUCGAGAUCAAACGAAUGAGGAACAUAGGUGAGUACCGGUGGAGGUGUUUGUUUCCCUUUGUCCAUUCCAUCAACUGGGUCUACCCCUAUUAUUGCUGAAAAUCUUAGCGUGGAGGCUGCUUUCUGUAGAGCUAGUGCAAAAGCAGUCUUUCCUCCUCGACUAUGGCCUGCAAGUCCUAUCUUGCUUAGUUUUGGUUGGACAUGGAGUGGCAGCACUUCUUGCAGCCCUUUGGAUAACCAGUUUGUUAUUGCAGCUGUGGAUUUUAUCUCCUCACUUGAAUCUGCCCCAGCCACAGUGUACAACUGUCCAAGUCAAAUACUCAAACUUGUUAGCUCUGCAAAUAACUCUAGUGCCACUAAAUUAAAAUUCAUUAGUCUGGUGAUUUAUGCUCUGCCAUAAUAUUCUCUUAGCUGAUAAACACAUACAUGUUUUUGUUUUCCUGUGUGAAGGGGGACGUGGUAUGGGGCCAAUGGCCUAUGGGCUUUAAGAGCAAAAGAACUAGGAAAAUAAGGCAUGAAAAAGAAGCAUCUCCAGAACCAAUCACGUCAAGAGUCCACUUGAUAAUGAAAACCCCAUAGAGAGUCCAUAAUUUCCCUUUCAGAAAACUAGAAAAGUCCACAUUUCUUUUCACCUUUUGCACUAAGUUACUUCAGAUUAUCAACAUGUGGCAUCAUUGCUGCUCUACAAAUACAUGACUCUGAUAUUUGGUAAUUAUUAUCAUUUUUAUGAACUUCUUUCUGUACUUUAAUGGCAAUUAUUGAAUACUAAAAUGAAAAUUAAUAAACGGAGAAAAACCGAUCAAAUAAUUACUUUACUUGAAGAAAAGACAUACAAUUAGAAGCAAAAAUCUGCAUAUAAAGGGGGGAAAAGAAUUCAGAGAAGGAUACCUGAGGAGCAAUAACAAUGAAGCCAUGAGAAGCAACAUGUUGGAUGAGGAGAGAAUAGAAAGAGUUAUAGAGAAGGUAACCAUGGAGGAACAUUAGAAUUGGGAAUUCUCCUGCUUCACAUGGCAUGGCAAUCAAGAGUGGCUUUGGAGGUGGAACAGCAAGUGAAGAUUUUGUGGAACAUGUUUCUGAUUCUACUUUUUGAAGCACUGUUGUGUAUUUCCCAAUCUCAAAAACACCUGUUGCAGUAGCAGUACCAGAAGAGCAAGACAUGGCUGAUGGAACUAGUUUAGUAGCUUAUCCUUUCCCCU